rnacentral:rRNA from 1 species
UGGUGGGUAGUUUGACUGGGGCGGUCUCCUCCCAAAGAGUAACGGAGGAGCACGAAGGUGGGCUAAUCACGGUUGGACAUCGUGAGGUUAGUGCAAUGGCAUAAGCCCGCUUAACUGCGAGAAUGACGGUUCGAGCAGGUGCGAAAGCAGGUCAUAGUGAUCCGGUGGUUCUGAAUGGAAGGGCCAUCGCUCAACGGAUAAAAGGUACUCCGGGGAUAACAGGCUGAUACCGCCCAAGAGUUCAUAUCGACGGCGGUGUUUGGCACCUCGAUGUCGGCUCAUCACAUCCUGGGGCUGAAGUCGGUCCCAAGGGUAUGGCUGUUCGCCAUUUAAAGUGGUACGCGAGCUGGGUUUAGAACGUCGUGAGACAGUUCGGUCCCUAUCUGCCGUGGGCGUUGGAGAAUUGAAGGGGGCUGCUCCUAGUACGAGAGGACCGGAGUGGACGAACCUCUGGUGUUCGGGUUGUCACGCCAGUGGCAUUGCCCGGUAGCUAAGUUCGGAAUUGAUAAGCGCUGAAAGCAUCUAAGCGCGAAGCGAGCCCUGAGAUGAGUUCUCCCUGGCACUAUAAGUGUCCUAAAGGGUUGUUCGAGACUAGAACGUUGAUAGGCAGGGUGUGUAAGCGCUGUGAGGCGUUGAGCUAACCUGUACUAAUUGCCCGUGAGGCUUAACCA